rnacentral:piRNA from 1 species
GGGGUUUCCUGUCUUGAUGGACAAUGUCA